rnacentral:rRNA from 1 species
UACGUAGGGUGCAAGCGUUGUCCGGAAUUAUUGGGCGUAAAGAGCUCGUAGGCGGUCUGUCGCGUCGGCUGUGAAAACCCGGGGCUCAACCCCGGGCCUGCAGUCGAUACGGGCAGACUAGAGUGCGGUAGGGGAGACUGGAAUUCCUGGUGUAGCGGUGAAAUGCGCAGAUAUCAGGAGGAACACCGGUGGCGAAGGCGGGUCUCUGGGCCAUUACUGACACUGAGAAGCGAAAGCAUGGGGAGCGAACAGG